AAUGCGAUAUAUUGCAUGGUUAAGAUAGGGCUGUCUUGCCUUGUCGUCCUGACAUAGUUUCAAUAAGCAGCUCGCAGUUGAGAAUAUUUAUGUCAUCACAACUGAAGUUUAUUGUGUACCAUCUCCUUAUGAACGGAAAGAUUUAACGUAGGUACCAAGACUUUAUAUGUCGUCCGGAUAGGAAUGCACACAGUAAACAAAACAGCAGUGCACGGCCCGUGGCGUCAAGUAGAUUCGGCUGGAUCUCGCAGGAGCCAUGAAAGAGACCCCCGCCUCCGUGCUGCAACGCUCGGUCAUUAGGAAUAUUCAUGGAACCUGCAGGCCCUGCGGCCCACCCUCACUUUCCUCUUUUGUGGGAGGGGCCAUUCCUCCGAGGCAAAAUGAAGUCUCCCCUCUCACGAAAAGAUAAAAACCGGGAGUAGAUUUCUUCACACGUCAGUAACUCCAUAAAUAUAUAAUCACUGUUUUUCUCAUUCAUUA